rnacentral:rRNA from 1 species
UACGGAGGGAGCUAGCGUUGUUCGGAAAUACUGGGCGUAAAGCGCACGUAGGCGGCGCGGCAAGUCAGGGGUGAAAUCCCGGGGCUCAACCCCGGAACUGCCUUUAAUACUGGCAAUCUCGAGUCCGAGAGAGGUGAGUGGAAUUCCGAGUGUAGAGGUGAAAUUCGUAGAUAUUCGGAGGAACACCAGUGGCGAAGGCGGCUCACUGGCUCGGUACUGACGCUGAGGUGCGAAAGCGUGGGGAGCAAACAGG